rnacentral:rRNA from 1 species
CGAGAAUUUUUCACAAUGGGCGAAAGCCUGAUAGAGCGACGCCGCGUGGGGGAUGAAUGGCUUCGGCCCGUAAACCCCUGUCAUUCGCGAGCAAACGUUAUUAUUUAAAAGAUGAUAGCCUGAUAGUAGCGAAAGAGGAAGGGACGGCUAACUCUGUGCCAGCAGCCGCGGUAAUACAGAGGUCCCAAGCGUUGUUCGGAUUUACUGGGCGUAAAGGGUGCGUAGGUGGUGGGGUAAGUCGGAUGUGAAAUCUCCGAGCUCAACUCGGAAAGUGCAUUGGAAACUACCCUGCUCGAGGGUUGGAGGGGGGACUGGAAUACUUGGUGUAGCAGUGAAAUGCGUAGAUAUCAAGUGGAACACCAGUGGCGAUGGCGAGUCCCUGGACAACUCCUGACACUGAGGCACGAAAGCUAGGGGAGCAAACAG